AGUGAACGCUGGCGGUAGGCCUAACACAUGCAAGUCGAACGGCAGCACAGUAAGAGCUUGCUCUUACGGGUGGCGAGUGGCGGACGGGUGAGGAAUACAUCGGAAUCUACUUUUUCGUGGGGGAUAACGUAGGGAAACUUACGCUAAUACCGCAUACGACCUACGGGUGAAAGCAGGGGAUCUUCGGACCUUGCGCGAUUGAAUGAGCCGAUGUGGGAUUAGCUAGUUGGCGGGGUAAAGGCCCACCAAGGCGACGAUCCGUAGCUGGUCUGAGAGGAUGGUCAGCCACACUGGAACUGAGACACGGUCCAGACUCCUACGGGAGGCAGCAGUGGGGAAUAUUGGACAAUGGGCGCAAGCCUGAUCCAGCCAUACCGCGUGGGUGAAGAAGGCCUUCGGGUUGUAAAGCCCUUUUGUUGGGAAAGAAAAGCAGCAGGUUAAUACCCCGCUGUUCUGACGGUACCCAAAGAAUAAGCACCGGCUAACUUCGUG
rnacentral:rRNA from 1 species